rnacentral:rRNA from 1 species
UUAGGAUUGAAGUUUUCGGAUGGAUUUCCUAUAUGACUGAGUGGCGGACGGGUGAGUAACGCGUGGGGAACCUGCCCUAUACAGGGGGAUAACAGCUGGAAACGGCUGCUAAUACCGCAUAAGCGCACAGAAUCGCAUGAUUCAGUGUGAAAAGCCCUGGCAGUAUAGGAUGGUCCCGCGUCUGAUUAGCUGGUUGGUGAGGUAACGGCUCACCAAGGCGACGAUCAGUAGCCGGCUUGAGAGAGUGAACGGCCACAUUGGGACUGAGACACGGCCCAAACUCCUACGGGAGGCAGCAGUGGGGAAUAUUGCACAAUGGGGGAAACCCUGAUGCAGCGACGCCGCGUGAGUGAAGAAGUAUUUCGGUAUGUAAAGCUCUAUCAGCAGGGAAGAAAACAGACGGUACCUGACUAAGAAGCCCCGGCUAACUACGUGCCAGCAGCCGCGGUAAUACGUAGGGGGCAAGCGUUAUCCGGAAUUACUGGGUGUAAAGGGUGCGUAGGUGGCAUGGUAAGUCAGAAGUGAAAGCCCGGGGCUUAACCCCGGGACUGCUUUUGAAACUGUCAUGCUGGAGUGCAGGAGAGGUAAGCGGAAUUCCUAGUGUAGCGGUGAAAUGCGUAGAUAUUAGGAGGAACACCAGUGGCGAAGGCGGCUUACUGGACUGUCACUGACA